rnacentral:lncRNA from 1 species
GGCAAAUGAAUGUUGAUUCUUUUUUUUUUUCCUAUCAAUUUCAUUACAACUUUUGCUAAAAAUUCUUGUCACAUUGGUUGUACACAAUUUACUACUGUUUAGUCAAUUUCAGCAAUAUAGUGGUACUGAGCCUCUUAUCCUUCAUCUAUCUUCGAAAUGGAUGUGAUCUUUUAGUGCCUCCUUGUUAUUGUUGAUGUUUUGUGUUCUUGUUUAUCU